CCUACGGGAGGCAGCAGUGGGGAAUUUUCCGCAAUGGGCGAAAGCUUGACGGAGCAAUACCGCGUGAGGGAAGACUGCCUAUGGGUUGUAAACCUCUUUUUUCAGGGAGGAAUAAGAUGACGUGUACCUGAAGAAUAAGCAUCGGCUAACUCCGUGCCAGCAGCCGCGGUAAGACGGAGGAUGCAAGUGUUAUCCGGAAUCACUGGGCGUAAAGCGUCUGUAGGUGGUUUAAUAAGUCAACUGUUAAAUCUUGAGGCUCAACUUCAAAACCGCAGUCGAAACUAUUAGACUAGAGUAUAGUAGAGGUAAAGGGAAUUUCCAGUGGAGCGGUGAAAUGCGUAGAUAUUGGAAAGAACACCGAUGGCGAAAGCACUUUACUGGGCUAUUACUAACACUCAGAGACGAAAGCUAGGGUAGCAAAUGGGAUUAGAUACCCCAGUAGUCCUAGCCGUAAACUAUGGAUACUAGAUGUUGAACAGAUCGACCUGUGCAGUAUCAAAGCUAACGCGUUAAGUAUCCCGCCUGGGAAGUAUGCUCGCAAGAGUGAAACUCAAAANAGAUAGACGGACGUGAGACGUGCCGAACGGACGACGACGAGGGAGGUAGG
rnacentral:rRNA from 1 species